rnacentral:rRNA from 1 species
CAGUCGCCGCGGUAAUACGAAGGGUGCAAGCGUUACUCGGAAUUACUGGGCGUAAAGCGUGCGUAGGUGGUGGUUUAAGUCCGUUGUGAAAGCCCUGGGCUCAACCUGGGAAUUGCAGUGGAUACUGGAUCACUAGAGUGUGGUAGAGGAUAGUGGAAUUUCCGGUGUAGCAGUGAAAUGCGUAGAGAUCGGAAGGAACAUCUGUGGCGAAGGCGACUAUCUGGGCCAACACUGACACUGAGGCACGAAAGCGUGGGGAGCAAACAGGAUUAGAUACCCGUGUAGUCCCUGUCUCUUAUAC